GCCACAAAAGUGUAAACAUCGAUCAAAAUGGCUGCCUUUUAUUUAGUUUACUAAUUUAUUGUGCAUUUGUUGUGUUGUUACGAUAAUAAUUAGUUGUUAUUAGUUAAAAAUUUAAGAAAUAUAACUUAAACAUGGUCCAGACGUGUCGAUGAAGAUUUUCGUGUUAUUGCACUUGGAUUGCCUGUUCCAAGAUACACUGGUAAUUUAUUGGAUCCAUACCGUUAAGAUCAAGAUUUCAAGCACGAGAUGUAUCCCAUCUUAGUUACCAGCUUGGUGCGAACUUUGGGGUGCAGGACGUGGUUUUGUUUGUACAGAUUGCAGUGAGUUGCCACAGAUUUUAAAACAAAUUUUUACAGCAUCUGUUCUACGAUAACGAUAACGAUAACGAUAAAGAUAGAUUUAUUAUUAAAUUCUAGUUCGAUUUAA